rnacentral:rRNA from 1 species
CCUACGGGAGGCAGCAGUGAGGAAUAUUGGUCAAUGGGCGAGAGCCUGAACCAGCCAAGUCGCGUGUAUGAUGAAGGAUCUAUGGUUGGUAAGCUUCUUUUAUGUGGGGAUAAGGUGUGGAACGUGUUCCUUUUUGUAUUUUCCAUAUGAGUAAGCAUCGGCUAACUCCGUGCCAGCAGCCGCAGUAAUGCGGUGGAUGCGAGCGUUAUCCGGAUUUAUUGGGUUUAAAGGGUGCGGAGGCGGUUAAUUAAGUCAGCGGUGAAAGCUUGUGGCUCAACCUUAGAAUUGCCGUUGAAACUGGCUGACUUGAGUAUAUUUGAGGGAGGUGGAAUGCGUGGUGUAGCGGUGAAAUGCAUAGAUAUCACGAAGAACUCCGAUUGCGAAGGCAGCUUACUAAACUAUAACUGACACUGAAGUACGAAAGCGUGGGGAUCAAACAGGAUUAGAUACCCUUGUAGUC